rnacentral:rRNA from 1 species
UGGCGGACGGGUGAGUAACGCGUAGGCAAUCUGCCUUCUAGAUGGGGACAACAUCCCGAAAGGGGUGCUAAUACCGAAUGUUGUAUGAUCUUCGCAUGGAGAUGGUACUAAAGGUGGCCUCUGAAUAUGCUACCGCUAGAAGAUGAGCCUGCGUCUGAUUAGCUAGUUGGAGGGGUAACGGCCCACCAAGGCUUCGAUCAGUAGCCGGUCUGAGAGGAUGAACGGCCACACUGGGACUGAGACACGGCCCAGACUCCUACGGGAGGCAGCAGUGGGGAAUCUUCCGCAAUGGACGAAAGUCUGACGGAGCAACGCCGCGUGAGUGAAGAAGGUUUUCGGAUCGUAAAGCUCUUUCGUUAGGGACGAACGUGCUCUUUGUGAAUAAUGAGGAGUAAUGACGGUACCUAAAUAAGAAGCCACGGCUAACUACGUGCCAGCAGCCGCGGUAAU